CCUGGCUCAGAUUGAACGCUGGCGGCAGGCCUAACACAUGCAAGUCGAGCGGAAACGGCAGCAUUGAAGCUUCGGUGGAUUUGCUGGACGUCGAGCGGCGGACGGGUGAGUAACGGCUGGGAACCUGCCCUGACGAGGGGGAUAACCGUUGGAAACGACGGCUAAUACCGCAUAAUGUCUUAGUUCAUUACGAGCUGGGACCAAAGGUGGCCUCUACAUGUAAGCUAUCGCGUUGGGAUGGGCCCAGUUAGGAUUAGCUAGUUGGUAAGGUAAUGGCUUACCAAGGCGACGAUCCUUAGCUGGUUUGAGAGGAUGAUCAGCCACACUGGGACUGAGACACGGCCCAGACUCCUACGGGAGGCAGCAGUGGGGAAUAUUGCACAAUGGGGGAGACCCUGAUGCAGCCAUGCCGCGUGUGUGAAGAAGGCCUUCGGGUUGUAAAGCACUUUCAGCAGUGAGGAAGGUGGUGUACUUAAUACGUGCACGGCUUGACGUUAGCUGCAGAAGAAGCACCGGCUAACUCCGUGCCAGCAGCCGCGGUAAUACGGAGGGUGCGAGCGUUAAUCGGAAUUACUGGGCGUAAAGCGCAUGCAGGCGGUUUGUUAAGUCAGAUGUGAAAGCCCGGGGCUCAACCUCGGAACCGCAUUUGAAACUGGCAGGCUAGAGUCUUGUAGAGGGGGGUAGAAUUUCAGGUGUAGCGGUGAAAUGCGUAGAGAUCUGAAGGAAUACCAGUGGCGAA
rnacentral:rRNA from 1 species